GGGGACCACGUACGGGGAAGCGGCGGCUGUGUGCUGCGCCCGUAAUAAGGUUCCUACCAUAAAGUUGCAUCCUAAUGAGGUUCUUAAUUUAACACUAGCGGUAAUAGACAACUUAUUAACAUUUUUAUACUGAUCACCAUGGAUAAAAGAAAGAGACUGGAUUGGCCUUGUGGGCGGGCCACGCGCGCCGAGGGUGCGAACGAACGUGCAUACCGCUGUCAUAACGCUCGAAUGUUCAUACUUACCGGCUAGCAAUCGCUGUCAUGUUUUGACAGCGUACGUAUCUCCGCAAAAAUAUUAUAUUAUGCCGUCUUGCGCUAUUAUAACGUGUCGGAAAAGAAGCCAGGUGUGUAGCAUAGCACGAGAAGGAAUUUCUUUUCAGCGGUUUCCAACAGAUCCAGGUGUAACAAAAUUGUGGAUUGACACAACUGGUAGAAUUAAUUUUUUUUUUUUCAAGUUCCACCACACAGAUUAGAAACUGCGUAUAUUUUUAUCUCCACCAUAUUUAUACAGACAUUGGUCUUAAAAACUAAGCUUAUAUAAUAAUUAAUAGUAUAAUAAAUUAUGUAGCAAGUUACACGACCAGGUUUAAAACAAUUGAAAUGACAAGUGGUGGGAUUCAGGAACCCAAACUAGGAAAACCUGUACUAUGGGCUCCUGGAUUCCUACUAAAUGUAGCAUAUUUCGUUCGCAACAUUUCGAUGUUGAUAAUUACAUAAUAACAAAGUCAGGGAAAAGAAACUUAAAAUUAGGCGUUUAUCCGCACAAUAUCGCAAUGUGUAAUUCAGUAAGUAAACUGAUUUUAUUUUAGAAAAUUUUAAAUUAGUCUCUUUAAACCAGUUUUUUUGUCUAAAAAUGGCGAUAUUUAAAAUAUCAUCUUUCGUAAAUUUAAAAAAUGAAAUAAUAUAACCAUGUUAUUUCAAUGUAUUCUGUACUUUAUACAGAUUAUUGUAAAUGUGAGAGCCCUGUAAUUAGCUAAAUUAGACUAGUAGAAUGCAUUUGUGUCAGCUUAGAGUUGUCAUGCUCACUCAAAGGUCUCACUGGCGGUACCACGGGCAUUGGAUCGUUCGAUUCCCUGCAACAUGGUUGAGUUGGACGGUGCUGGUGUACGUGCCAUGUUGGUGAACGAGCGCUGUCAACUGGGACUGGUCAGCUCCAGACUGUAUUAAUUUUGUUGUUCUUAAGGUUUUUUUUCUAUCGCUUUGACUGAAUAUUAGUUUUACAUUGUUCUCACAUAGUUCAAGCAAUCGAUGCAAAGAAAAGCAAUGUUAUCAAGAAUUGUAUUGUGAAUCUAAUUGAAAAAGAUCGAACGAACAGAUCUUCGAUCUUCUCCAUAGGAAUCUACACUUUGGAACGAGCAAAUAGCUUCACUAGAGGGCUGACCGACAGACAGACGUUAUUAAUAUUAUUAUAUUUGCUUUGACGUUAAAAAGUGCCUAUGAUUUAUUUAUUUUUUACUGUUUUUAACUUAUUGAGUAAUAAAAUUGGUUUUAAAAUUCA